UUGAGUAUUAAAACGACCGAGUAUCGAUAUCAAUGGUAACGAAAUAAGUUGACACCACGUCUCGUCAAAACAUGUUCAAUUCGAAUUUACUCGGAAUUACACGUUCAACGAGCAUUUCCUGUGAAACCUGAUUAAAGGAAAAUUACUGUAGACACCUAAUAGUGAUUUGUACAGAAGCGAGCCCCGGCAGGAAUGAUGGCCUCUUUUGAAAUGAAGAUGUCAUGCCUUACUCCUACUGGGACUACAACUAACUUUGGACCUGGUCACUCGCAGAUACAGCAUGAAGUGUGCCCUCUUGAUGUACAUGGGAAUGGGAGUGAUACAGAAGGGGGACUAAUUGGAAGAACUGCUGCUGCUGGUGGUGGUGCUGGACUGUCUUGAAUCUGUGGCCUAACCGAGUUGAUAUUCUUCUGUUUAAUAUGGGAGCAACACACACACUCUGGCAUCUAUUGCACAGAAAAUCAUGAUCAGAUGGUGCCCUCCCUAUCAGAGUGGUGAUCACUGUCCUAUAUUUCUUUGAAAUCCUGGAUCUGUGUUUUGGUUUUACUCUCCAUGGAUAAUUGAAACAGAGAAAGAAUUUGGGACCACUCCUUGGCAUAUUUGAAAUAUUUAUGUCAUAUACAUGUAAUUGAAAUUAUACAAUUUGGGUUGGAUGAAAAUCUUAUCUUCAUGUUAAAACCCAUUAGCCUAGGUUAUUUUUCCUAAAAUCUAAUUAUAAAUCAAUUAACUUGUUAAUUAAUGCUUGGUGAAUCAAUUAAUAAAUUGUAUUAAAAAACUUGGAAUUAUUUUUUUCCACUAAUAAACUGAAAAUGUGUAUCUUCAAA